rnacentral:lncRNA from 1 species
GUCAUUGGAACUCCUGAAAAAUGAGGCCUAGCUGGAAAAGAGACCACUGGGGACAGACCUCUCUGAUGCUACAACACAGCCCAAGCUCCCAUAGUUGGUGCCAUGAAGAGAGCUUCACAGAGCUGACCUGCCUUCUCCACCACAGUGGGCUAAACCAUUGGAAAUCCCGAGCCAGGAGCAAUCCUGGUCCUCAAGUUGCUUCUGUCUGUCAUUCUGCCACAGCAAUGAGAAAAUCAGCAAUAACUGAAGCAGCAAGCCUUUGUUCUGCGGAAGCUCGUUUCACUUCUCGUAAAGAGCAAAACUGCCUCGGGACAGCGUCGGAGCACUGGAGAUCCCAUUUAACGUUGAUGGCAGCUCUUGUUCUUAUUUUUAAUUAAUUAUGUGUAUGGGUGUUUUGUUUGCAUGCAUAUCUGUGUACCUCAUGUGUGCCCAGAGAUGCCCAGAAGAGGGAGUCAGCAUCAAAGCCCCUGGCUAACAUGUCUCAGCAGUUAAAAAUAUAGCUGUUGCUUUUAAAUGUCCCUUGUUUUUCUAGAUGAAGGCUAUCAGUGAUGACUAGCUGUGGCCAAAUGGUGGUCUAAUGUUUCAUUGCUCGCUUGAGCCAUGGCUGGUGAGCCAGCUGGGUCCUUGGCAUCUUGGGGAUCCUAUGCUCAUGUCUGCGACCCAGGCUUCCACCUUCCUGCUGGGUUUGUCUAGUGGGGAGAACGGAGAAGUCUAUGAUGAUUUCUUUAUCUCUAGUCUGGUCUCCACAGCUGCAUCUCUCCCUUUCCUCCAGGAUGGACCCACGGUAGCCUCACUGCUCCCACAUAACUUUGGUCAAUGGUUUCAGAAAAAACGCCAUCAUCUCCCUUUAUCUCCAUUUUCCUCAAUUUCUAGGGGAGGGAGGGCAGCAGCUCCUGGAUGUCAUUUGUCUCUGGGCUAUCUUGUCACUCAGUAUCAGUUUUUCCACCUUUUGAGGACUGCCAUCCUCUGAGCUGCUUCUCAUAUUAUUGAUGGGAAGCAUCCAGUGACCAUCAUUAGUGUUGCUUACAGCAGAUGGCUGAGAAGUUGUUCACAGGAGUGUGUACCCAUCACCAUUGACUACAACACGGGAUAAAACACCUCUUCCCAUCCCCAGCAACUUAACUGCUCGAAGAUCCUCAGGGAGAGAUGUGGCCUCGAGAGCUCCUCCCACAUCCAUGUUGAGAUGGUGAAGGGACGAAUCCUGUGCAGGAAACCACAGCUGCUGUGUACUGAAGGGUGUAAGGACCAUAGCACACCUAGAAGUCUGCAUCUGCCAUGGUGUGUGCCUUCUUUCCUCUCUUCUGCUCUUUCUUCGCCCUCAUCGGUUAAGUUCUCUGAGCCUUGGAUAUGUUUGGCAGGAUUCUUUUGGUCUCCAGAGAGAGAAGCCCAAAUUUAAACUGGUUUCAUACAAUGGAGGAACUUACAGUUCUAUUAAUAGUGUCAGAGACGGUUCCAGGUGUGACAUUAUAGGAAUGGCCCUUUCUUAGUUUUGAUUUAGAAAAACAAAGAGACUCUAUCCUGUACAACACUUGAAUUUAGUUUCAAUCCUCACCUGUGCUUGAAGGACACCAGAUUUUAAGAUUUACUCUGAAUGUUAUGAAAAGGCAGUCUUUUACCCUCAUUUAUCAGACUGACAGGGUGUUUUUAGACAAAUAUUCAGUGUUUGUAUCAGGCAACCAGUGGUCCCAGCUGAUCUAGAGUGUGUUCUGAUCACUGCACUUUGUGUGGUAGUUUCUGUUUUCAUCGGAGUUUUUCAUCUUGUGACUGCUUGCUUUUCGAUGCAGCCAUUUAUCUGAAUUACUCACUGUUGGCUAUGCAAACAGCUCAG